rnacentral:lncRNA from 1 species
CAGAGCAUGAUAUGUAUCCAUCCAUACAUGGAACUAAAAUCAAAUGCAUUUAUAUGUUCUUAUGAAAAUUUUGUUACAAGAUUGAAAGGUCCAGAUUAAAAAAAAAAGGAGAUGUAAAUCACUACUUGAAAGCACACUAGGGCAACUAUCUAUGAAGCAGUCUUCCUCGAUGCUGACAUCCCCUUCGAUCUGAACGGCUGCAUCGAUGUUACUCACCUCGGUAGGAAAGUGAAACUCCCUCGC